AUGCCCAGGACCCCGCCGCGAGGGUCCAGCUCCCGCACACGACACGCACGACUCCCCGAGGCGACGGGGCACAACACCAGGCAGAGGUGGGGAGAAGCCUACAUAUCCCACCGGCUCUGGCAGCCGCUGUACCCCCCAGUGCCCGGCCCGGCCCCACCAGCCCCGGAGCGGCCGCCGCGCCUGAUCCCCGUAAUGCGUUUCCCACCUGCCCGCGGGCGCCCCGCGCUCCCCGGCGCCAGCGCGUCCGUCUCCGUCCCCUCACAGCGGCAACUGAGCCCCCGCGCGCGCCAACACGCACCUCACUGCCGCCCUGCGCCGCAUCCCUCCGCCGGCCCCGGCCUUCCACUACGGCCCCCCUGCAGCCAACAAGCCACGGGAGCCGCCGCCACCGCAGGCGAAAGGGAGACGGCGGAGGCGCCCUGUCGCCCGCGGGCCACGGCGGGUCUGAGGGUGGCCUCCGCGCGAAGCCCCGCCGAGCCCCGGCAGGCGAGUCCCGCGGAAGGAUACACGACGCAGCGACAGCCGCGGUCAUGCUUCAUUUGGGACAUACACUCCAGUGCUCAGAGCCAACCCUAGGCAGUUUGCCAUCACCACACCUCCACCCCCACCAUCACUGUCUGCAGGUGGUCGCCCACUGUGCCCCACCCCCAGCCUUCAGGGACACGGGUUGUUCACGUUCUACUGCUCUGUAGCUCAACUUUGGAGUUCCAGGAGCCAAGAAGACUGUUAAGAACAGAAAGAGGUUCUUUCACAAGGAUAAAGUGACUUGGCUUCUAGUAGGCUAUUUUUAAUAAAAUAGUUGCAGUAUUGUAAGAGUGAUGUAGU
rnacentral:lncRNA from 1 species